AACGAAGAAACAUUUUCAAAAAACUCUACUCCUCUUCUUCCUCGCCGAGUGUUUCAUCCUCAACAACUCCAUCGUCUUCCCAAGGGCUAGCCACCGGAUUUCAGCUAAUAACCGGAGUUCAUGUCAGGGAAUUAGGUGAUGUGGAACACAUACAUUUGGUGAAAGGAUUGGACUAUGCCUUACUUGACAAAAUUAGAAGUGAGAUUGAUAAGAAACCCGAAGUUCGCGAAGAGACUGAUGGAAAGUCUAGGCUUCUUUCUAUAUGUUACUUCUGUGCCUAGCUUCUAGAUAUUAACUUGAGUAGCUCGAAUUGAUAGUUGAACACCUGGGGCAGACUAGAAUGGUGCUAAAAAAGCAGUUUUCGGCGACGCAAUUAGUUUCGCUCUUCCAUCACAUUUGCUAUUGGUGGUGGUGCUUGUGGUUCCAUUGUCUACCAUUGUUUCUUGCUUUGUAGAAUGAGGAAGAGCCUUCCAAAUUUUAUUCACUCUCUCUCCCCUAUCUUUUCUAGUUCCCUCCGUGAGAGCCGAUUGAGGUGGUAUGGUCAUGUGCAAUGGAGACCUAUGGACGCCCCAGUAAGAAAGAGUGAUCAGAUUCAUUUACAGAGAACUAGAAAAGGUAGGGGAAGGCCAAAGAUGACUAUUAACGAAGUAGUGCGAAACGAUAUGAAAACCGUAGGGCUUGACUCUAGUCUGACUUCAGAUAGAGUUACGUGGAGGACAAAGACCCGUGUUGCCGACCCCCUAUAGGGGAUGUUCCCAUGAUGAGUUCUUGUAUACUGCUAUAAUUCUUCUUUUAUCCCCAAAUCUCUUUAACCGUUCCUUUAUGCUUAUUUACUUUUACUUAUUGGAUUCAUGUAGCCUACUCCAUUCAGUUGGGAUAAUGUUAUGAUUGUUGUUGUU